rnacentral:tRNA from 1 species
CGGGCCCCUGGCGCAAUGGCUGCGCGUUUGACUCCAGAUCAAAAGGUUGGGCGUUCGACUCGCUCUGGUCUGA